rnacentral:rRNA from 1 species
GACGUAGGGCGCGAGCGUUGUCCGGAUUUAUUGGGCGUAAAGAGCUCGUAGGCGGUCUGUCGCGUCGGCUGUGAAAACCCGGGGCUCAACCCCGGGCCUGCAGUCGAUACGGGCAGACUAGAGUGCGGUAGGGGAGACUGGAAUUCCUGGUGUAGCGGUGAAAUGCGCAGAUAUCAGGAGGAACACCGGUGGCGAAGGCGGGUCUCUGGGCCGUAACUGACGCUGAGGAGCGAAAGCGUGGGGGAGCGAACAGGG